AUUAAAUUUUCAACUUUUAGGCUGUUCAUUAGAACAGCAGUGUCUGGUUUUGUCUAAUGAAAAGUCCGGAAAUUAUCAUUAUUUUUUAAAGAGAAAAUUGGAGGACAGCACUGCGCCCAGGACGAUCAAUUUUUAAGCUUAGAGAGGAGGAAAAAACAUUUAUAGAAAUUCCAAAAUACCUUCAAUGUUCUGCCAAAAUUGUCUCCAAUUCCAUUAAAUAUGAUUUGAAGCCUCACGUAAAACCACCGAUUCAGAGGAUCGACGCAUAGUUUCUUUCAGCAAGGUUAAUCCUUCUGCGUCCUCUAGGGAGGAGGAACAGGCUCCUGACAGUGUGUUUGACCUCAAAACAAGGAGUUAAGCAUGUUAAGCAUGGUGGACUUAAUAUUCUGGUAUGGGCUUGUUUUCGUUACAGUGGUAUCAGUCCCAAGCAUAUGAUUGAUCGUUUUAUGGACCAACACGAAUAUGUAAAUGAUAAUGAUCUUAAACAGACAAACAACCGUUCAACCGCUCGAGAAUUGGUUCACCCAAAAUAAAGUAGACGUGAUGCCAUGCCCAGCACAAUUUCCCGAUCGAACCUGUGGGGCGACAUUAAACAUUAUGUCUACGGCACUGAUAAGCAACAAACGCUAUGCAACAAAUAACUAGACCCCAAUGUAAAUAUUAGUAAGAAAAAUUUAGUUGUAGUACUUUUUCUCUAUAUUUUCGAAACUAUUAAAGAAAUAAAAGUGUAA